CCUACGGGAGGCUGCAGUGAGGAAUAUUGGUCAAUGGGCGCGAGCCUGAACCAGCCAAGUAGCGUGAAGGAUGACUGCCCUACGGGUUGUAAACUGCUUUUAUAAAGGAAUAAAGUGAGGCACGUGCGCAAUUUUGUCUGUACUUUAUGAAUAAGGAUCGGCUUACACCGUGCAAGCAGCAGCGGUAAUACGGAUGAUCCGAGCGUUAUCCGGAUUUAUUGGGUUUAGGGGGAGCGUAGAUGGGGUGGUAAGUCAGUGGUGAAAGUUUGCGGCUCAACCGUAAAAUGGCAAUUUGUACUGGCAGUCUUGAGUACAGUUGAGGUAAGCGGAAUUCGUGGUGUAGCGGUGAAAUGCUUAGAUAUCGCGAAGAACUCCGAUUGCGAAGGCAGCUUACUAAACUGCCACUGACAUUGAUGCUCGAAAGUGUGGGUAUCAAACAGGAUUAGAUACCCGAGUAGUC
rnacentral:rRNA from 1 species